AUUAGAUAAAAAACCAAUGCCCUUCGGGGCUUUCUGGUGAUUCAUAAUAACUAAACGAAUCGCAUGGCCAUGCGCCGGCGAUGGUUCAUUCAAAUUUCUGCCCUAUCAACUUUCGAUUGUAGGAUAGAGGCCUACAAUGGUUUCAACGGGUAACGGAGAAUUAGGGUUCGGUUCCGGAGAGGGAGCCUGAGAAACGGCUACCACAUCCAAGGAAGGCAGCAGGCGCGCAAAUUACCCAAUCCCGACACGGGGAGGUAGUGACAAUAAAUACUGAUACAGGGCUCUUUUGGGUCUUGUAAUUGGAAUGAGUACAAUUUAAAUCCCUUAACGAGGAACAAUUGGAGGGCAAGUCUGGUGCCAGCAGCCGCGGUAAUUCCAGCUCCAAUAGCGUAUAUUAAAGUUGUUGCAGUUAAAAAGCUCGUAGUUGAACCUUGGGUCUGGCUGGCCGGUCCGCCUCACCGCGUGCACUGGUCCGGCCGGAACUUCCUCUUGGGGAUCUGCAUGCCCUUUACUGGG
rnacentral:rRNA from 1 species